rnacentral:rRNA from 1 species
GACGAACGCUGGCGGCGUGCUUAACACAUGCAAGUCGAACGAAGUGGCGAACGGGUGAGUAACGCGUAAUCACCCUGCCCUUCAGAGGGGGACAACAGUUGGAAACGACUGCUAAUACCGCAUAGUGAAGAGGGAGAUUGCGUGUGAUUUGGUAGUUGGAGGGGUAACGGCCCCCCAGGGCGAUGAUCAGUAGCCGGUCUGGGAGGAUGAACGGGCAAAUUGGGACUGAGACAAGGGCCAAACUCCUAAGGGAGGCAGCCGGGGGGAAAUGUCCGAAAUGGAGGAAAGGCUGACGGAGCAACGCCGCGGGAGUGAUGACGGCCUUCGGGUUGUAAAGCUCUGUUAAUCGGGACGCGGUACCGGAAUAGAAAGCCACGGCUAACUACGUGCCAGCAGCCGCGGUAAUAC